rnacentral:rRNA from 2 species
AGGUCAAGCGAACAAGGGCACACGGAGGAUGCCUAGGCGUAAGAGGGCGACGAAGGACGCAGCGAGCGGCGAAACGCCCCGGGGAGCUGCAAGCAAGCAUUGAUCCGGGGAUAUCCGAAUGGGGGAACCCACCUCAGGCGAACCUGAGGUAUCCCGUACUGAAUCCAUAGGUAUGGGAAGCGACACCGGGGGAACUGAAACAUCUAAGUACCCCGAGGAAAAGAAAGAAACAUCGAUUCCCUAAGUAGCGGCGAGCGAAAAGGGAAGAGCCCAAACCUUGCAUGUGCAAGGCCGUCACCGUUGCAUGCAAGGGGUUGAGGAGUGUCGAGCUUGGGACGGGAGAGCAAGGCGAGGCCAAAGGUAGCAGAACACCGCUGGAAAGCGGGGCCACAGAAGGUGAAAGCCCUGUAUGCGAAACCGGAAGACCCGCCUGACACAUCCAGAGUACCACGGGCCACGCCAAUCCCGUGGGAAGCAGGGAGGACCAUCUCCCAAGGCUAAAUACCCACUUACGACCGAUAGAGAACAAGUACCGUGAGGGAAAGGUGAAAAGCACCCCGGGAGGGGAGUGAAAUAGCACCUGAAACCGUGUGUCUACAAACGGAGGGAGCGCAAGCGACCUCGUACUUUUUGUAGAACGGACCGGCGAGUUACUGUAUCAAGCGAGGUUAAGGAGUAAAGCUCCGGAGCCGAAGCGAAAGCGAGUCUGAAGAGGGCGACAAGUUUGAUGCAGUAGACCCGAAACCGUGUGAUCUACCCAUGGCCAGGGUGAAGCGGAACUAACCUUCCGUGGAGGCCCGAACCGUGUUGACGUUGAAAAGUCAUGGGAUGAGCUGUGGGUAGGGGUGAAAUGCCAAUCGAACACGGAGAUAGCUGGUUCUCCCCGAAAUAGCUUUAGGGCUAGCCAAAGCAGGACCUUACCGGAGGUAGAGCACUGAAUGGGCUAGGGGCCGAAAAGGUUACUGAACCCUAUCAAACUCCGAAUGCCGGUAAGAAAUAGCUUUGAGUCAGACUAUGGGGGAUAAGCUUCAUAGUCGAGAGGGAAACAGCCCAGACCGUCAGCUAAGGUCCCCAAGUAAACCUAAGUGGUAAAGGAUGUUGUACUACGAAGACAACCAGGAUGUUGGCUUAGAAGCAGCCAUUCAUUCAAAGAGUGCGUAAUAGCUCACUGGUCGAGCGGUACUGCGCCGAAAAUGUAACGGGGCUCAAGGUUUACACCGAAGCUGCGGCUUUUCAGAGGUCGGAUGUGAGAAGUCAGAGGUGAGAAAAAUAAACACCUACAAAGACCUAAAGAUAUACCAAAAAUCAUAUGAACUCAGCCUAAUAGUACACAAACUAACACAAAAAUACCCAGAAUACGAAAGAUAUGAACUAGCGAGCCAAACAACGAACAAGAAACACACAAAAAACUCACAGAAGAAUAUAUCACACUGAGAAAACAAAUAUACAAAACCAUAGAAAAAUGGAAAUAAACACUGACAUCUGACUUCCGACAUCUGACCUCUGAAAGGGGUAGGGGAGCGUUCCUAUUGGGCAGAAGUCGUACUGGAAAGUAUGGUGGACCGAUAGGAAGAGAGAAUGUCGGUAUAAGUAGCGAGAGGCAGGUGAGAAUCCUGCCCGCCGAAAGCCUAAGGAUUCCUGAGGAAGGUUCGUCCGCUCAGGGUAAGCCGGGGCCUAAGCCGAGGCUGUGAAUGCGUAGGCGAUGGACAACUGGUGGAAAUUCCAGUGCCACCCGAGACCGAUUGAGUGAAGGGGUGACGCAGGAGGGUAAGCUGAGCGCACGGUUGGUAGAGUGCGUCCAAGCCCAAAGGCAAGCCGGACAGGCAAAUCCGUCCGGUGAUGCUGAAGGGUGAUGGGGAGGGAACAAAAGUACCGAAGCAGCCGAACCCAAACUGCCAAGAAAAGCCUCUAGCGAGGUCAAGGGUGCCCGUACUGCAAACCGACACAGGUAGGUGAGGAGAGAAUCCUAAGGCGAACGGGAGAACCCUCGUUAAGGAACUCGGCAAACUGACCCCGUAACUUCGGGAGAAGGGGUGCCCGAGUAGCGAAGAGCAAUCUUUUGCGAAAGGGUCGCAGCAAAGAGGCCCAAGCGACUGUUUAGCAAAAACACAGGUCUCUGCUAAGGAGGAAUCCGACGUAUAGGGGCUGACGCCUGCCCGGUGCUGGAAGGUUAAGGGGAUGGCUUAGCGCAAGCGAAGGUCAGAACCGAAGCCCCAGUGAACGGCGGCCGUAACUAUAACGGUCCUAAGGUAGCGAAAUUCCUUGUCGGGUAAGUUCCGACCCGCACGAAUGGCGUAACGACUUGGGCGCUGUCUUGACGAGGGGCCCGGCGAAAUUGUAAUAUGAGUGAAGAUACUCAUUACCCGCGACUGGACGGAAAGACCCCAUGGAGCUUUACUGCAACCUGACAUUGGAUUUCGGCACUGAAUGUACAGGAUAGGUGGGAGGCAGAGAACCUGGCUCGUCAGGGUCAGGGGAGCCGACGUUGGGAUACCACUCUUUCGGUACUGAGGUUCUAACCCCAAGGCCGUAAGCCGGCUGGGGGACAUAGUCAGGUGGGCAGUUUGACUGGGGCGGUCGCCUCCUAAAAGGUAACGGAGGCGCCCAAAGGUUACCUCAGCGCGGUUAGGAAUCGCGCAUUGAGUGCAAAGGCAUAAGGUAGCCUGACUGCGAGAAAGACACUUCGAGCAGGGUCGAAAGACGGGCUUAGUGAUCCGGCGGCACUGGAUGGAAGGGCCGUCGCUCAACGGAUAAAAGCUACCCUGGGGAUAACAGGCUGAUCUCCCCCAAGAGUCCACAUCGACGGGGAGGUUUGGCACCUCGAUGUCGGCUCGUCGCAUCCUGGAGCUGAAGUAGGUUCCAAGGGUUGGGCUGUUCGCCCAUUAAAGCGGCACGCGAGCUGGGUUCAGAACGUCGUGAGACAGUUCGGUCCCUAUCCGUCGUGGGCGUAGGAUACUUGAAGGGAGCUGCCCCUAGUACGAGAGGACCGGGGUGGACGGACCGAUGGUGUAUCAGUUGUCGUGCCAACGGCACCGCUGAGUAGCCAAGUCCGGCAGGGAUAAGCGCUGAAAGCAUCUAAGUGCGAAGCCCCCCCUAAGAUAAGGUAUCCCAUCCCUAAAAGGGAGUAAGACACCGGAAGGACUAUCCGGUCGAUAGGUCAGAGGUGUAAGGGCUGUGAGGCCUUGAGCCGACUGAUACUAAUAGGUCGAGGGCUUGACCAAAAA